rnacentral:tRNA from 1 species
GGAGAGGUGGCUCAGAGGUUAAGAGCACUGGCUGCUCUUCCAGAGAGAGGACCUGGGUUCAAUUCCCAGCAACCACA